rnacentral:lncRNA from 1 species
UAGGCCAAUUUGUGGUAAAGAAUCAAAAGCUGAAGCUAAUUUGGAUGAGAUUGAUCUAUUGGUGUCUAAGACAAGUUCUUUGAAAGGUGGUUACUUAAUUAGGACCAUUGCACCAACAGUAGGGAGCCUCCCAUCGAUCUCUACUUAUCUGGCCAAUUUGAUUGACCAAAUCUAAUUUGGGGUGCUUAGCAUUGAGUUCACCA